UACAGAGGGUGCGAGCGUUGUUCGGAAUUACUGGGCGUAAAGCGCGCGCAGGCGGCUUGUUAAGUCCGCGGGUCAAAUGCCGGGGCUCAACCCCGAGCGUGCCCGGGAUACUGGCGGGCUGGAGACAGGUAGAGGCGAGCGGAAUUCCGGGUGUAGCGGUGGAAUGCGUAGAGAUCCGGAAGAACACCAGAGGCGAAGGCGGCUCGCUGGGCCUGGUCUGACGCUGAGGCGCGAAAGCGUGGGGAGCGAACAGG
rnacentral:misc_RNA from 1 species